GAGGNGCUUGCACCUUAUCUUAGCGGCGGACGGGUGAGUAAUGCUUAGGAAUCUGCCUAUUAGUGGGGGACAACAUUCCGAAAGGAAUGCUAAUACCGCAUACGUCCUACGGGAGAAAGCAGGGGAUCUUCGGACCUUGCGCUAAUAGAUGAGCCUAAGUCGGAUUAGCUAGUUGGUGGGGUAAAGGCCUACCAAGGCGACGAUCUGUAGCGGGUCUGAGAGGAUGAUCCGCCACACUGGGACUGAGACACGGCCCAGACUCCUACGGGAGGCAGCAGUGGGGAAUAUUGGACAAUGGGGGGAACCCUGAUCCAGCCAUGCCGCGUGUGUGAAGAAGGCCUUAUGGUUGUAAAGCACUUUAAGCGAGGAGGAGGCUACUGAGACUAAUACUCUUGGAUAGUGGACGUUACUCGCAGAAUAAGCACCGGCUAACUCUGUGCCAGCAGCCGCGGUAAUACAGAGGGUGCGAGCGUUAAUCGGAUUUACUGGGCGUAAAGCGUGCGUAGGCGGCUUUUUAAGUCGGAUGUGAAAUCCCCGAGCUUAACUUGGGAAUUGCAUUCGAUACUGGGAAGCUAGAGUAUGGGAGAGGAUGGUAGAAUUCCAGGUGUAGCGGUGAAAUGCGUAGAGAUCUGGAGGAAUACCGAUGGCGAAGGCAUCCAUCUGGCCUAAUACUGACGCUGAGGUACGAAAGCAUGGGGAGCAAACAGGAUUAGAUAC
rnacentral:rRNA from 1 species